UUUAGCGUUUUGCCUAUACUCAACCGCUGAAACAGAGCUGGCGCUUUCAGAGUGCGGAGCCCUUACGUUUCAGUGAGUAGGGAGGUGUAGUGGUGUGCGUUGAAGGGUCUGGGCGUGAGCCUGCCUGGAGCCGCCACUGGCACAGAUCUUGGUGGUAGUAGCAAAUACUCAAGUGAGACCCUUGAGGGCUGACGUGGAGAAGGGUUCCAUGUGAACAGCACUUGCACAUGGGUGAGUCGAUCCUAAGCCUAAGGCGAAAGCUGAUCCUACACACUUGGGCCACACGCUUGGUUGCACUUGUUGUUUCCAGCAGUGAGCGCCCGUAGGAGUUUGGCGAAAGGGAAUCCGGUACUUAUUCCGGAACCUGGAUGUGGGGAGUAGUGGCGCCUCGUGCGUCACCUAGCCGCAAGGCGAUUACCAUCCUGGAGAUGUCCAACUGGAGGGCCGGGAAGAGUUGUCUUUUCUGGUUAAGGGGCCGAGGGCCUUGUGAAUCGGGUCGGUCGGAGAGAGGGUCUUGGCCCCGAAGAGCGCCGCGGUUCUUGCGGCGUCCGCGCUCCUCUAGUCUGGAACUUGAAAAUCCAGGGGGAAGAAUGCGUACCUUCACACCAGUUCGUACCCAUAUCCGCAUCUGGUCUCCGAGGUGAACAGCCUCUAGU
rnacentral:rRNA from 1 species